rnacentral:snRNA from 1 species
UCAUGAACAACGCAAAAAAUCACGUUCGGGUUUCUCAAAAACCUACUUAAAAAGUAAACCUGGCACGAGGUGCGAGCCCACGACUGCCGGGGACCUGAGGAACGAAACGGAGAAGAAAGCGAGCAAUCUUGGGUGCGGUGCUCCCUCUACAAAAAAUGGAGAGGACCGCAAUGAUUGAACGUACAU